AAUCGCACAAAACAUAAAUUGUACGUACCAAAAAAAUUGUUUUAAUAAUUUUUUUAAAUAUUAACUCAAAUACACAUAAUAGACACAAAAUGUCUAAUAUUAUUUAAUAGACUUAAAUAGUCUUUUGUUCCAUAUAAAUUAUCGAGUUUUUGAUUUUGAUCAAUAUAUCAUUUUUUUUUUGUCUGAGUCUUUAUAUCCCACUUUUGUAUUGAUUUUAGUCCUUAAAGGUAAAAUCCGCAGGAAGACUUUAGGGUCUAAAACCAACACAAAAAAUGAGAUAUAAGGAUUCGGACAAAAAAAUUUACAGGAAUCAAAAUAAAAAACUCACUAACUUAUAGAGACCAACAGACUAUUUUAGCCUAUUUUAUAGUAUAAGUUUAAUACUUAGAAGUAAGUUUAGAAAAAUGUCAAAAUACUUAAUUUCUUUAAAUUUGAUACUUAAGUACAAGUCUAAAACAACGUCAUCUAAUUCAUUUAAGUUUGUUGAACUCACAAAAUCUCCACCAUCUUAUUCAUCAUCUAUGUCGUCCUCUUGAAGUUCAUCACCUAUGUCAUUCUCUUGAAGUUCAUCAGCAACGUCUUCCUCAUUACUUGUGGGGUCCUCUUGAAAUUUUUCACUUACGAGAUGGUCCUCUUCAUCAUCUUUAUUGAUACCUUGUUGCAUAACAAAUUAAUAACAAAAUCAGUCAAGAUAAUUCUUACAAAAAUUUCAAGAUAACCAAAAUUAACAACUACUUUUUUUUAAUAUUACAAAUAUAUUAUUAACAAGAUAGUGUAUAAAUUGUACACCAAAUUGAUAGAAGAAGAAGAAAGUAGCAAGUUAAACAAAUAAAAGAGCAAAAUAAAACCCAACAAUUAAGUCAUCCAAUCCAAACAAGAAAAGGAAACUUUACACACCAACUCUAACAACCUUAUCAAACUAGGGACAAAAACACAAGUCAUCCCAUAAAGGUUAUGACUUUUCAUUCCAAUUUGACUAACUACAAAUGCAAAGCAAUAGCCCAAAGGAUCUAAAACACAAUUAUGAUGACACUAAAACGGUCGCAAAGCUAAUAUAAACAAAUACAACUAGCAGACUCUAUAACCAUGUAACUGGGCCAAUUUAUUGCUACCAGUCCUCCAAUUCCAAGACAAAAGCUUAAUUUCUAUUAAAGGAAAUCGUCUACUACUACCUUAAUACAAAUAUCCAUCAUACAAAAUCAAACUCAACUAUAAUAAUUUAAAACAAUAAUAUAAUGUAUAUGAUUACCUUUAUAAAGUAUGAAGCAUGAGUUGAUGUAAAGGAAUGCAUUUGGGGGCCACUUUCUUUUGGGUCCCAAUUAGCAUC
rnacentral:lncRNA from 1 species